UAGCAACCCUCACAAAGAAAGCAAGACAGCCAGGCUCUGUGUUCAGUCUUCAGGAAACCGGUAACCAGAAAGGGAGCUGACCACAACUUACCAGCAAAGUGUUCGCUCACUACUUUUGAAGAUCAAUCGCAGAUUGGAAACCAUGAGUAACAUUAAAAUUUAUUAUACCAGCGUAUCAUGCUCUAGGGAGGUGAGUAGGAAGGGCCUCAGCUGGAGGGAAGAAACAGGAGCGGAUUAAAGUAAAACAAAGACAAGACGAAGUUAUGAGGAUUUUGGAUACUUAUGAAGUUAAGUAUGAGUUAAUAGAUAUAGCUGUCAGUUCCCAUGUACUGGAAGAGAUGCGGACGAAAGUUGCCUCUCCUAAGGCUGUACCACCUCAGAUAUUCAAUGGCCAAGACUAUUGUGGAGAUUUUAUGACUUUCCACAGUGCCAAAGAGAACAAGGAAAUUCUGAAGUUCCUAAAGAUGGAGAAAAUGGACAAUUUUGAUAAAUGGUAAAUCUAUCAUGUACUUUUAACUGUAAAAGAACUACUCUAUUAAAGUACCACCAAAAUAUUGA